ACCGCCUCACAUAGGUGAUCUGGCCUCUCGGUUCAAUGAACGCGCAGCUGAACUCUUUUCCACAUGAGGAGCUAUGGACAGUUAAAGGUUGCUGCAGAAAGGUGUGGACGGAUGGAAAAAAAUCACAGUUAACGUGUUAGAACUGAAAGAGGAAAGGAGGGGUACAGAAUUUCUCAAUCUGGAAACUUGUAAUAACACAAAACCAUGAGUUGGCCUAUACAGUAUUCCUCCUUGGAUUCCUGGCUAGGGACAUGGGGAGGAAAUGAAAGCAACCUGGAGCAACUAUCACAAUCAAUCUGGGACACUGGAAAGAGUCAAGAAGAUCAUUCAUUAAAGAGAAACAUCCAAAAUGAUGGAAGAGCAAAGUGAGGAUCCAAGAAGUUUCUGACAUGGUGUAUGAGUC
rnacentral:lncRNA from 1 species